rnacentral:rRNA from 1 species
CCUACGGGAGGCAGCAGUGAGGAAUAUUGGUCAAUGGACGCAAGUCUGAACCAGCCAUGCCGCGUGCAGGAAGACGGCUCGAUGAGUUGUAAACUGCUUUUGUACGAGGGUAAACGCAGAUACGUGUAUCUGUCUGAAAGUAACGUACGAAUAAGGAUAGGCUAACUCCGUGCCAGCAGCCGCGGUAAUACGGAGGAUUCAAGCGUUAUCCGGAUUUAUUGGGUUUAAAGGGUGCGUAGGCGGUCGGAUAAGUUAGAGGUGAAAUCCCGAGGCUCAACUUCGGAAUUGCAUCUGAGACUGUUCGGCUAGCGAGUAGUUGCGGUAGGCGGAAUGUAUGGUGUAGCUGUGAAAUGCUUAGAGAUCAUACAGAACACCGAUUGCGAAGGCAGCUUACCAAGCUACUUCUGACGUUGAGGCACGAAAGCGUGGGGAGCAAACAGGAUUAGAUACCCCGGUAGUC